GAUCCUGGCUCAGGAUGAACGCUAGCUACAGGCUUAACACAUGCAAGUCGAGGGGGCGAGCAUGGUCUUAGCUUGCUAAGGCUGAUGGCGACCGGCGCACGGGUGAGUAACACGUAUCCAACCUGCCGUCUACUCUUGGCCAGCCUUCUGAAAGGAAGAUUAAUCCAGGAUGGGAUCAUGAGUUCACAUGUCCGCAUGAUUAAAGGUAUUUUCCGGUAGACGAUGGGGA
rnacentral:rRNA from 1 species